AGGCAAUGGAAUUUCUCAAGUCCCUUGAGAUGGUGUUCUAUUGAAGGUUGAGAUUUAAUUUCCGGUCCCUGACACAUUGAUUUGAUAUUAUCUGAAAAGGAAGAGCCUUUCAAAAAGGAGCCCAAGACCCAGGUCACAUCCAACAAGAAGAAGCCCCAAACGCGGUGAAUGAAUGUAUUUUAAUAUGAGAUUUCGCUUGGUGAAACUUUUAACUUUUAGUAUAAUUUUGUGUAGAAGCCUCUUAGUAAAAGUGAAGCAGUUGUUGCUUCUAAUGUGCUGGAUAAUAGUUUUGCUUU